UUACAAUUAAUUUUUUAUGCUUGAUCGAAUUGCGGGCAUGGAUAGCACUGAAGGAUUAUUUCUCAAGAAGAUAGAAGAUGGUGAUAAAUCUCAAAUAUAUAGGUCCGACAUAUAUGAUCCGGGCUAUUCCAAGCAAUGCAUCAGAUCAGAUAACAUAUGUUGCACACUCCUUACUCAAAGUGCUGUUCAUGGUGCUAUGGCUGGAUACACAGGCUCCACUGUGGGAUUUGUUAAUGGCA